rnacentral:rRNA from 1 species
AACGGAGGCGCUCAAAGGUUCCCUCAGAAUGGUUGGAAAUCAUUCAUAGAGUGUAAAGGCAUAAGGGAGCUUGACUGCGAGACCUACAAGUCGAGCAGGGUCGAAAGACGGACUUAGUGAUCCGGGGGUUCCGCAUGGAAGGGCCAUCGCUCAACGGAUAAAAGCUACCCCGGGGAUAACAGGCUUAUCUCCCCCAAGAGUUCACAUCGACGGGGAGGUUUGGC